AGUGAACGCUGGCGGUAGGCCUAACACAUGCAAGUCGAACGGCAGCACAGUAAGAGCUUGCUCUUACGGGUGGCGAGUGGCGGACGGGUGAGGAAUACAUCGGAAUCUACUUUUUCGUAGGGGAUAACGUAGGGAAACUUACGCUAAUACCGCAUACGACCUACGGGUGAAAGCAGGGGAUCUUCGGACCUUGCGCGAUUGAAUGAGCCGAUGUCGGAUUAGCUAGUUGGCGGGGUAAAGGCCCACCAAGGCGACGAUCCGUAGCUGGUCUGAGAGGAUGAUCAGCCACACUGGAACUGAGACACGGUCCAGACUCCUACGGGAGGCAGCGGUGGGGAAUAUUGGACAAUGGGCGCAAGCCUGAUCCAGCCAUACCGCGUGGGUGAAGAAGGCCUUCGGGUUGUAAAGCCCUUUUGUUGGGAAAGAAAAGCAGCAGGUUAAUACCCCGCUGUUCUGACGGUACCCAAAGAAUAAGCACCGGCUAACUUCGUG
rnacentral:rRNA from 1 species